rnacentral:rRNA from 1 species
AAAACGACUCUCGGCAACGGAUAUCUCGGCUCUCGCAUCGAUGAAGAACGUAGCGAAAUGCGAUACUUGGUGUGAAUUGCAGAAUCCCGUGAACCAUCAAGUCUUUGAACGCAAGUUGCGCCCGGAGCCGUUAAGGCCGAGGGCACGUCUGCCUGGGCGUCACA